rnacentral:rRNA from 1 species
UACAGAGGUCCCGAGCGUUGUUCGGAUUCACUGGGCGUAAAGGGUGCGUAGGUGGCAUGGUAAGUUUGAUGUGAAAGCUCAGGGCUUAACCCUGAAAUGGCAUUGAAUACUACUGUGCUGGAGGUUUGGAGGGGGGACUGGAAUUCUUGGUGUAGCAGUGAAAUGCGUAGAUAUCAAGAGGAACACCAGUGGCGAAGGCGAGUCCCUGGACAACACCUGACACUGAGGCACGAAAGCUAGGGAAGCAAACAGG